rnacentral:misc_RNA from 1 species
UCUCCGUUGGUGAACCAGCGGAGGGAUCAUUACUGGAAUCGCAAGAUCCCACAACCCUGUGAACCUACCGAAACGUUGCCUCGGCGGGUGCCCGGCCUCUGCGCCGGGCGCUGCGCCCGCCGGCGGCCCCCUACUCUGUCUCUGCAGCGUGGCAUCUCAGAGUCCCAGAAAACAAGUCAAAACUUUCAACAACGGAUCUCUUGGCUCUAGCAUCGAGAAGAACGCAGC